rnacentral:rRNA from 1 species
CAGCCGCCACGGGAAUACGUAGGGUGCGAGCGUUAAUCGGAAUUACUGGGCGUAAAGCGUGCGCAGGCGGCUUUGCAAGACAGAUGUGAAAUCCCCGGGCUCAACCUGGGAACUGCAUUUGUGACUGCAAGGCUAGAGUACGGUAGAGGGGGAUGGAAUUCCGCGUGUAGCAGUGAAAUGCGUAGAUAUGCGGAGGAACACCAAUGGCGAAGGCAAUCCCCUGGACCUGUACUGACGCUCAUGCACGAAAGCGUGGGGAGCAAACAGGAUUAGAUACCCCCGUAGUCCCUGUCUCUUAUAC